UACGGAGGGUGCAAGCGUUGUCCGGAUUUAUUGGGUUUAAAGGGUGCGUAGGCGGCUUUAUAAGUCCGUGGUGAAAGCCAACAGCUCAACUGUUGAACUGCCAUGGAUACUGUAAGGCUUGAGUACAGACGAGGUAGGCGGAAUUGAUGGUGUAGCGGUGAAAUGCAUAGAUACCAUCAAGAACACCGAUUGCGAAGGCAGCUUACUAGGCUGUAACUGACGCUGAGGCACGAAAGCGUGGGGAGCGAACAGG
rnacentral:rRNA from 1 species